rnacentral:sRNA from 1 species
AAAGACAACCUCUUCUCUCCCGCUUCUCUCGCUGUGAAGAUGGCGCUCUCCAGGGUUUGCUGGGCUCGGUUGGCUGUGUGGGGCUCGGCAGUCACCCCUGGACAUUUUGUCACCCGGAGGCUGCAACUUGGUCGCUCUGGCCUGGCUUGGGGGGCCCCUCGGUCUUCAAAGCUUCACCUUUCUCCAAAGGCAGAUGUGAAGAACUUGAUGUCUUAUGUCGUAACCAAGACAAAAGCCAUUAAUGGGAAAUACCAUCGUUUCUUGGGUCGUCAUUUCCCCCGCUUCUAUGUCCUGUACACAAUCUUCAUGAAAGAAAGCCUUGAGCCGGGCCAUGCUUCUCACAUCUUACCUGCCUCCUCCCUUGUUGAGACAUCGUUUGAAGACUCAUACAACUGUGAUUCACCAACUGGACAAGGCUUUGGCAAAGCUGGGGAUUGGCCAGCUGACUGCUCAGGAAGUAAAAUCGAGUCUCAUUCUGUUGCCCAGGCUAGAGUACAGUGGCACAGUCUUGGCUCAUUGCAACCUCUGCCUCCCAGUUCAAGUGAUCCUCCUACCUGAGCCU